rnacentral:siRNA from 1 species
AUUAGAGAUUCGAAGGAAGCCUA